ensembl:lncRNA
CGCCACGGCUCAUCCCUCAGGCUUUGCUCAUUUCUCAGACUCCAAGCCAUACUCUCUGCUCUUCACACGCCACCUCUUGGAAAGCUUCCAGCUCUACACCUGCCUGCCCUCCUGUCACCUUUUGCUCGGUGGAUCUCUCGAACCCAGGUAAACCUCUGUAACGUCCACCGAGAGUAAACAGAUGGAUGUAACUUUGAGGUCUGAAAACUGAAGCCAAAAAAAUAUGAUUGACAGCUUAUACAGUCCUGCACUCCUCUGCAGCACUGCAGUGUGGGAAAUGGCAGUGAAUCUUCAAUAACAGGUGAUCACGGCUGAGCAAACAACAUCAAACCAUAACAGCAGAGUGCCAGAACAUCCAGAACAGCCAUCCUUUCAGUCUCGCAAUCACACUUCAGUACGUACAGCUCGAAAAAGAGCCUCGCCCAGGGUGUGUGUGAUCAUGGUAAUGGAAAAUAGUGUAUAAUCGAGAAGAGCGCUGGUGAGCUAAUGAAAAGGGUAGCGGGGUGACAUUUUCAGAGUGAUGUCUGAAGUAGAAUGACAUUUACAGAGAAGAAGCCCCAAAGACAGUCUUUUUUUAAAGGGCCUGUAUAUUAUAUGGGAGCAGCACAGGAAAACGUGAAAUGUGAAGCUGAUUUCCACAUGACUCAUGCGUGCUGGUGUCAGUUUUUAUCUUCAGGUAGUAUCAUUUGGCUGGAUACUGGUGCACAGAUGGAAGAUGUGUGAAAAAAAAUUCCCUUUCAAACUGUCAAGCAUUAAUUUGAGACAAAAAACUAACAGGUUGUUGCAGAACAUUAAAAAUUAACAGAGUGCAUUAGCGAUUAAAAAAGGUCAUUUCGUCUAAAGAUAUGAAUCUUUUUGGAUGAUUGCGAUUCUUAUUCAUCGAAUGGCAACAAAUGAUCACCAAGACAUCUGUUCCAGGUGAGGUAACCCAGCAGGUUCCUUUUAAAACAGCUGUGUUAACACAUAAUUGACAAGUUUCACAGCCUGACAGUAAUGUCUGGCAGUGCAAAGGAGGAUUUCUCAUAAUGAGAUGGUGCAAGAUGGAUAGCCAAGGCAGGAGAAACGUGAAAGGUUUGUGAGACAUUAGGUCAUGGCUGUGAGAAAGAUGACUGUACGGUGAAAUCUGGUUGAAAAAAACAAAACAAAAAAACCCAGCCUGAGCUCUUUGACGGACUUGAAAGAAAAAAUACCACAAUUCUGCUGCGAGACCUCAGUCCUGCUAGAAACCCUCCCUCAACAAAAAAACAUCAACAAUAUUGAUGCCUUAGUAAUUUUAAGUGUGUUUGAGCUAAUGGAAAUCUUAACUUCGUUAGUAUUUCAGGUUAAGUAAGCAUGUCAGUGUUAAAUAACCGUGCCGCACACAAUCCCACGUAAUCUCAAGUGGUCCAAAACUGCAUAUGCAUGAUGUCCUUUGGUGUCAGUGCCUUGAUGCAGGAGUCACUGCACUUCCAGAUGGCAAGCGACUUCAUAAAAGUCCAUAUAUGAGGAGGGGAGGGGUGGUGGUUGCUAGGAUACAAAACCUGCCACCUUGACAAAAUCUAAGAGUUUGAUGUUAUGAAAGCUGUGUACAACUUCCUGAAUAUUAGUGUGUAUGUCCAAUUAGCUAGUGGCCAAGUAACUGAAUGAGUCUCGAACUGUCGAGCAUGAACACACAGCAUGAGUGACACAGCUGUUACUAAGUUGCUAAUGCAAACCGACGUAUAGGAACA